AUUGAACGCUGGCGGCAUGCCUUACACAUGCAAGUCGAGCGCGAAAGGGGGCAACCCCGAGUAGAGCGGCGGACGGGUGAGUAACGCAUCGGAACGUGCCCAGUAGUGGGGGACAAACCUCGAGAAAUCGAGGCUAAUACCGCAUACGACCCACGGGUGAAAGCGGGGGACCGCAAGGCCUCGCGCUAUUGGAGCGGCCGAUGUCCCGAUUAGCUAGUUGGCGGGGUAANAGCCCACCAAGGCGACGAUCGGUAGCUGGUCUGAGAGGACGACCAGCCACACUGGGACUGAGACACGGUCCGGACUCCUAC
rnacentral:rRNA from 1 species